rnacentral:rRNA from 1 species
AAUGAACGUUGGCGGCGUGGAUUAGGCAUGCAAGUCGAACGGGCCGCAAGGCCAGUGGCGGAAGGGUGAGUAAGGCGACGGCAACCAACCCCGGGCUUGGGUAUAGCCGGCGGAAACGCCGGGUAAUCCCCAGCGAAGUCCACCGCGGGCAUCCGCGGAGGACCAAAGGUGAGAUUCCGGCACGGGACGGGCCGUCGUGGUAUUAGGUAGUUGGUGGGGUCACGGCCCACCAAGCCGACGAUGCCUACCGGGUGUGAGAGCAUGGCCCGGCACACUGGAACUGAGACACGGUCCAGACUCCUACGGGAGGCAGCAGUGGGGAAUAUUGGACAAUGGGCGAAAGCCUGAUCCAGCCAUGCCGCGUGUGUGAAGAAGGUCUUCGGGAUUGUAAAGCACUUUAAGUUGGGAGGAAGGGCAGUAAGUUAAUACCUUGCUGUUUUGACGUUACCAACAGAAUAAGCACCGGCUAACUUCGUG